GAUGAAGAACGUAGCGAAAUGCGAUAAGUAGUGUGAAUUGCAGAAUUCAGUGAAUCAUCGAAUCUUUGAACGCACAUUGCGGCCAUAGGUAUUCCUUUGGCCAUGCCUGUUCGAGCGUCAUUUACACCCUCAAGCCUAGCUUGGUGUUGGGCGUCUGUCCCGCCGUUCUCGCGCGCGGACUCGCCUCAAAGUCAUUGGCGGCGGUCGUGCCGGCCCCCUCGCGCAGCACAUUUGCGCUUCUCGGAGGCCCGGCGGAUCCGCGCUCCAGCAAGACCUUUCACGACUUGACCUCGGAUCAGGUAGGGAUACCCGCUGAACUUAAGCAUAUCAUAAGCGGAGGA
rnacentral:misc_RNA from 1 species